rnacentral:rRNA from 1 species
AUUGGACGCUGGCGGCAGGCUUAACACAUGCAAGUCGAGCGGGGUGAUGGUGCUUGCACUAUCACUUAGCGGCGGACGGGUGAGUAAUGCUUAGGAAUCUGCCUAUUAGUGGGGGACAACAUCUCGAAAGGGAUGCUAAUACCGCAUACGUCCUACGGGAGAAAGCAGGGGAUCACUUGUGACCUUGCGCUAAUAGAUGAGCCUAAGUCGGAUUAGCUAGUUGGUGGGGUAAAGGCCUACCAAGGCGACGAUCUGUAGCGGGUCGGAGAGGAUGAGCCGCCACACUGGGACUGGGACACGGCCCAGACUCCUACGGGAGGCAGCAGUGGGGAAUAUUGGACAAUGGGGGGAACCCUGAUCCAGCCAUGCCGCGUGUGUGAAGAAGGCCUUAUGGUUGUAGAGCACUUUAAGCGAGGAGGAGGCUCUUUUGGUUAAUACCCAAGAUGAGUUGACGUUACUCGCAGAAUAAGCACCGGCUAACUCUGUGCCAGCCGCCGCAGUAA